CAUGCAGGCGGUCGGACGCGUUUUGUGUGACAGCGGGUGGCUUAACUACCCGAGUAUGCGAAAGACGGUGCGACUUGAGGGCUCGAGAGGGACACGGAAUUCCGGGUGGAGUGGUGAAAUGCGUAGAGAUCCGGAGGAACACCGAAGGCGAAGGCAGUGUCCUGGCGAGUGACUGACGCUGAGGUGCGAAAGCCAGGGGAGCGAACGGGAUUAGAUACCCCGGUAGUCCUGGCCGUAAACGAUGACCACCAGGUGUGGGAGGUAUCGACCCCUUCCGUGCCGGAGGAAACCCACUAAGUGGUCCGCCUGGGGAGUACGGUCGCAAGAUUAAA
rnacentral:rRNA from 1 species